rnacentral:rRNA from 1 species
GACGAACGCUGGCGGCGUGCUUAACACAUGCAAGUCGAACGAUGAAGCCUAGCUUGCUGGGUGGAUUAGUGGCGAACGGGUGAGUAACACGUGAGUAACCUGCCCCUUACUCUGGGAUAAGCGCUGGAAACGGCGUCUAAUACUGGAUAUUACCUUUCAUCGCAUGAUGUUUGGUGGAAAGAUUUUUCGGUUUGGGAUGGACUCGCGGCCUAUCAGCUUGAUGGUGAGGUAGUGGCUCACCAUGUCGACGACGGGUAGCCGGCCUGAGAGGGUGACCGGCCACACUGGGACUGAGACACGGCCCAGACUCCUACGGGAGGCAGCAGUGGGGAAUAUUGCACAAUGGGCGCAAGCCUGAUGCAGCAACGCCGCGUGAGGGAUGACGGCCUUCGGGUUGUAAACCUCUUUUAGUAGGGAAGAAGCGUAAGUGACGGUACCUACAGAAAAAGCACCGGCUAACUACGUG